ensembl:lncRNA
GAUCACACUCCCGAGUCAAACUCGCAAAGUCCAAACUACUCCGAGGUGGGUAGCAACGAGUUACAUUUACUUGGUUACAUUUACUUGAGUAAAUUUUUUGGGUAACUAAUACUUUUGGAGUAUAUUUAAAGAUGGGUACUUUUACUCUUACUUAAGUAAAUGUUUGGGGGAAAAUCUGUACUUUUACUUCGUUACUGUGGGUGACGCUCCUUACUUUAUUUUAAUGCAAUAUAAAUUAUAAAUUCUUCAGUUUAUUCCAAACGCGGCGUCUACUUUUCUCUGGGCAAUGAGCGAUUCCCAUUCGCGAAUGAUUCAUUCUUUUGAGUCAAUUCUAUUCAAAGGCUUGAUCAAACCAGUUGGUAAACCAGUGAAUUGGUUCGUGAAUCAGUUUGAAUGAUUUAUUCAGUUCCCUGCCGUGCGCGCUGAGUGUCUGAAGCGCUUCACUCAGAGUUGUAACAGAAAGUUUAGGAUCAUCAAGAGCGUUGAAGACGUGGCUUCGGAUCUGCACUGAAUUUAAAGCAAAUCUGCAAAGGCUAUUGUUUGCUUGCGAUGAAGAUCUUUAUUAGAUGAACACUGCGUGUGCUGUCUACAGUUCGACAGGUAUAACUUAGGCUACACUCGAUUACAGUACACGAUACCACUAUGACAUUAGUUUGUUGUACGUGUAACUUAUAACAGAGGGGAGCCAAGUUGAAUGCAGCUUCCAAAAGACAAAAAAUAGCCGAUUAAUAUUUUCUAUAUUUGAUACAAUCACACCGGCGUGAGAACGUUCAGCGCGUCAUAUCAUCAGCUGCUAAAUUCAGAUGUGCGUUCGCUGGCUGGCGCUGAGCCAGAGACAGACGCGUUUUUACAGCACUGCGCAUUAUAACCAAUCACACAAGAUUCUGUUGAGCUUAUGAAUGCAAUGGCCAAUCAGAGGUGUUCCGAUGAGUCAUCGCUAAAAUCCCGGUGCUUCCUUCACUCGCUCGCUGACUGAAUACCUCUUUCUGGCGAAUUAUCUUGUCAGAAACAACAAAGUGCAGAUGUGUGUGCGAAUUUAUAAAUAAGAUAUUGAUUUCACAGUGUUAACAGUUUCAGUGAUUUUAAUGGGAGUUUUUGAGAGUGAUUGAACGCUAGAUUGUCAGUGAAAAUGUUCUUUGAUAAUGUAAAUAUUAGUAGCCAUUUUUGUAUCACAUUAACUUUCAAUGUUAUAUUCACAUUUAAUAUAAAGUCAGUCGUAUUAAAAAUAUGUUAUGGCAUGACACCCAUAUCUGUUACUUAAGUAAACAGACAGGUUUUUAUGCAUAGUUAAUAGAUUAUAUUAUUAGGCUACUUUGACCAUCGCAUAUUAUCUAACAAUCUAUGAAGGUGAGAAUCGAGAUAUUUCAUGAUAAAGGUUCAUGUGUCUGGGAAUGUUUCUAAUAAAAAUGAAAAAAAAAAAAAUGCUUAUUAAUUUGCCAAUAUGCUGUUGUAGC